UACGGAGGGUGCAAGCGUUAUCCGGAUUCACUGGGUUUAAAGGGUGCGUAGGAGGGCAGGUAAGUCAGUGGUGAAAUCUCCAAGCUUAACUUGGAAACUGCCGUUGAUACUAUCUGUCUUGAAUAUUGUGGAGGUGAGCGGAAUAUGUCAUGUAGCGGUGAAAUGCCUAGAUAUGACAUAGAACACCAAUUGCGAAGGCAGCUCACUACUCAAUCAUUGACUCUGAGGCACGAAAGCGUGGGGAUCAAACAGG
rnacentral:rRNA from 1 species